GAUGAAGAACGCAGCGAAAUGCGAUACGUAAUGUGAAUUGCAGAAUUCAGUGAAUCAUCGAGUCUUUGAACGCACAUUGCGCCCCCUGGUAUUCCGGGGGGCAUGCCUGUCCGAGCGUCAUUUCAACCAUCAAGCCCUGGGCUUGUGUUGGGGACCUGCGGCUGCCGCAGGCCCUGAAAUGCAGUGGCGGGCUCGCAAGACACACCGAGCGUAGUAGCUUACAACCUCGCUUUGGGAGUGCUGCGGGUGCUGGCCGUAAAGCGACCUUUGCGUCUUUAGCACUAGGUUGACCUCGGAUCAGGUAGGAGGACCCGCUGAACUUAAGCAUAUCAAUAAGCGGAGGA
rnacentral:misc_RNA from 1 species